UUGAAAUCUCAUCAUGGAAGUAAUCUAAUUUUUCAACAAAAUCAAACCAACCCAAUCCCACCCAUCCCCUCUCCUACCUACGACCACAAGGAGGGCUCCAUACCACCAUUCUCUUUGGUUUAGUGUUUGAAAAUCUAGUAAGGGGUUGCUUGACUUUGGGAUCAUGGUGUGUAGUUAGAUUAUUAUAAGAACACAAGGAACACAAGACAAAACUUAUCAUUCCACCUCUUACAAACAACACACAAUACUCUUUCUCUCCUCUCAUACCUACAGCCUAAACACCAUCCCACAACCCUUGAAAAUACCAAACUUAAACACACUAAAAUCACGCUUGAAAUUUCCAUAAGUUAAGGUGUUAGAAGUUUAGGAGGAGUCUUAGAGCCACACCUUAACUUACUACCCUUUAAUCUACCCCUUUUGAAGUGUUUCAUCUUGUGGUAUAAUCCUUGCAUUUUGUUGUUAUUUACAUUCUUAUGUUAUGUUCACUUGCACAACUUAUGUUAUGUUCACUUGCACAAGAAGGUUCAACCAAAUGGGAUUUUAUGAAAGUGGAUGAUCUAACAAGUAAACACUUGGUAAAAAUGGGAUUUUCGAAAAGUCUAUGUGUGUAUCCAUGAGGGUGUGUAGCGUUUUUUUUUUUUUUUUAUGAUUUUGUUGCUUGAUUUUUGAAGUCAUAUAUACUUGUAUGUUUAUGUAAAGCAUGAUGAUUCUUGUUAAGGAUGAAAAUGUUCAUAUGAAGAGUUUGUACUGCAAAUAUAGUUUAAGAAAAGGGUUUAGAAGGUGUUAG
rnacentral:lncRNA from 1 species